AUUAGUACAGCAACAUCAGAUUAUUAUGGGAUGCCAUCAUCUUGCAAUAACAGCAAGAACAGCAACACAUCUAGCUUAACUCAACCUCGGGUCCUAGCAGCACCUGCUGGGUGGACAUUCCAGUCCAAACCCAACUCCACAAGCACACUGCUUACUGAUUUGCAACCUUCAUGCAGGCGGAACAUCGACAACAACAAAUAAUAGUAAAAGACAAGGGAGGGAGGGAGGUGCCUCCGUUUGCCAUCGAUAGCAAUAGAUCCAGGUUGUGGUCACAGCCUUCUUCGUGCCAUCAGCUUAAUCAACAUCGCCUCCUGCACCCGGUGUGGUGUCAGGCGCUUCUUCAUCAGGCUGAUUUGCUGCUGCUCGUCCUAAUACCUGCAUGGACAAGUGGAGGUUAGUUACAUGGCAAGCACAUAAUAAAACAAACUGCAAUGCAUGUAUGUUCAUCUACAUUGUAGAGUACAGACGAUGGGGUUGACUUCAAAUGUUUGCUCCUAUAGUACUUAGGCAGACGGAAAAUAACCUACAAGCUAAUACCAUGUUACAAGCUGAUGGGAAAAUAACCAGCAUUUAUAAGAUUUUUUACACACGCACAAGUCAACCAUGUCAUGGUGAGCUGCAGGCAUGAGGAGUAUAUGGUUGUACAUAUCAAAAGAAGAACCUACUUGGACCAACAUAACAACCUGAAUAACCUACAAGCUAAUAAUAACUGAC
rnacentral:lncRNA from 1 species